rnacentral:rRNA from 1 species
CCUACGGGUGGCAGCAGUGAGGAAUAUUGGUCAAUGGACGAAAGUCUGAACCAGCCAUGCCGCGUGCAGGAUGACGGCUCUAUGAGUUGUAAACUGCUUUUGUAUUAGGGCAAACACCCCUACGUGCUGGGGCUUGAAAGUAUAAUACAUAUAAGGAUCGGCUAACUCCGUGCCACGAGCCGCGGUAAUACGGAGGAUCGAAGCGUUGUCCGGAUUUAUUGGGUUUAAAGGGUGGCUAGGCGGUUUGUUAAGUUAGAGGUGAAAUACCGGUGCUCAACACCGGAACUGCCUCUAAUACUGUUGAACUAGAGAGUAGUUGCGGUAGGCGGAAUGUAUGGUGUAGCGGUGAAAUGCUUAGAGAUCAUACAGAACACCGAUUGCGAAGGCAGCUUACCAGACUAUAUCUGACGUUGAGGCAUGAAAGCGUGGGUAGCAAACAGGAUUAGAUACCCUAGUAGUC